UCUGCCUGGAGAUGUUGUUUAACAGUCUCUAUGAGUCUGUGUUUCAAAAAAAAAGUCUUCUUCGUUCUUCCAAUCUCCUUCCUAUUCCUCUGUUAGGGUAGCCAGUAGCUAACAGCUAGGUCCUGCUCUGCUGGUACGCUGUCAUCCUGGAUCUACCGCGCGUCAUCCUCCUUGCCUAGGCGUAGCGCUCGGGCGGAACCGAGCUGCGGCCUUAAGCAUCGACACCGUCCUCGACUUCCCCACCAGUACCUACAGUGAAGGCCGACCAGAUUGAAGUGAAGCGCCAACGCCGACCUGUAGAUCUCGCCUCCACCGCCGCUAGUGCCCUCCAUCCCCUGUCCGCGAGUCUCGGCAACCAAAUCUGGCCAGAAAUGGUUCUAGGCUGGUAUCACUCACAUCCUGGCUUCAAUUGCUGGAUAUCUGACGUUGAUAUCAAUACUCAACAAGUCUUUACAAAUCCGCUUGUGUUCUGAAAGGGAUGUUUUGAUUCAGUCUAUCAAAAUAGGAUAGCUGUUGUUGUUGCACUGUAUUAUAUGUCAUGUCGUUAUAAAUACUGAUGUGUUUUUCUUAAUAAAACAUGGAUAUGAUAUUAUGCUACACUAUAAUUGAUCAACUGGAAGCGCUAGGCAGCUCCCCCUCCCCUCCCCCGUAUUGCCUAUGUUUUCAAUUUCACUACCUUCAUUGUGUAGGCUCCAUGUCUUCCCUGAAAAUUAUUGGUGAACUUAUCUUGUUGGCAGUUCAGUUAACCUGCAUGUUUUAUUUAUAUAAAAGAAAAAUGGGAGACAUUUGCUAAUUAUUGAUCCCAACUCACUGGAGUUCUUCUUGUGACUACAUUUUGUACUUCUGUUCUGUAUCUUAUAUAAGUUCCAAGCACUGCACUCAUAGGUCUAAAUCUGUUCAAUAUAUAAUUAUGCAGAGUUUUGAAGCUUUGAACCCCAGGGCGGUUACUGUUGUCGUAGACCCCAUAUAGAGUGUGAAGGGGAAAGUAGUUAUUGAUGUAUUCCGCCUAAUUAAUCCUCAGACCAUGAUGCUUGGCCAGGAGCCACGGCAGACGACAUCAAAGGUCGGGCACCUAAAUAACUCAUCGAUUCAGGCUCUUAUCCAUGGGCUGAACAGACACUACUAAUUUGCAAUCAAUUACCGCAAAAAUGAGCUCGAGAAGAAAAUGUUGUUGAACUUGCACAAAAAGAAAUGGAUAGAUGGGCUAAUUUUGAAGAGGUUUGACACUCACUCAAAAAACCAACGAGCAAACUGUCCAGGUUCCAUCCGUCUUGUAUGGGAAUGACCAUUGAGCAAGCCAAAAAAUUACAUGUGCUCGGAUUGUGCUAAAGAAAAUGGUGCAAAGAGACCCUCAAACUCAUACCCAGUUUCACCAAACUCUGAUUCUAAGAUAUGGACCUCGGUGGUUUUCUCCACGUUAGGAAAGCUGGAAGAGUCUUUUCUACUCAGUUUUAUGAUAACAGUGGUGUUAUGGUCAAACAAAGUCUUGCGUGUAUGUACCAACAGCUAAACUGUAAACACGACAUUACCAUAGUUGAUUACAUGAAUAAUUAUCUUUUAUAUCUUAUUGUAAAAUCUGAAACAGUUGUCAUGUAGAUGGUUAGCUUGCAUUUUACGCUACAAUUACUUCAAAUCACUUCUUGUUUCAUUUUACACCAAUUUACGACAUUUAUUGAUG